rnacentral:rRNA from 1 species
ACUGCAGGCUGCAACUCGCCUGCACGAAGUCGGAAUUGCUAGUAAUCGUAGGUCAGCAUACUACGGUGAAUACGUUCCCGGGCCUUGUACACACCGCCCGUCAAACCAUGAGAGUUGGCAACACCCGAAGUCGGUAGUCUAACCACAAGGAGGACGCCGCCGAAGGUGGGGUUGAUGAUUAGGGUUAAGUCGUAACAAGGUACC